ensembl:miRNA Gm55944 predicted gene, 24157
CACCUUCUCGCAGAGGCUCUUGACCUGGGACUCGGAGAGCUGCUUGCACUCGUUCAGCUGCUCGAUCCACUGGUCCAGCUCCUUGGUGAACAACUUCUCGUCCAUGAUGCC